rnacentral:lncRNA from 1 species
GACAUACCGAGCUAUUGCUCGAUGACGGAAGACGAAUGCGUGAUCGUCGGAAUAGUACUUUUGCAGGCGAAUUAGUGAGGUCGGGCGUACACGGAGUUGAGGCAUAGUCAACAGCAUGGCUUCCGCGUUUGCCUUUGAGUUAGGUUGUCCUUAUUUAUCUUUCUAUUAGAAUUGCCCUGAUUACCUAUGGGAUUUAUGUUUUUCAAGUUGAGGUUUGUAUUUUGUGAAUUGGAGAUUGAUGUUGAGUUGGGGAGCAGGGUGGCUCCAGAAGUAUAAGGAUGAUUUGAUUUAGAAGUGUAAAUGCUUUCUACAGGUUUUGGGUAGCCUAUUUUAGGGGAAGUUCCGCCAAAUUUUUGGUAGAAUUUCUUUUAAGGUGGGCCCCGCAGGGCCACUU